rnacentral:rRNA from 1 species
UACGAAGGGUGCAAGCGUUACUCGGAAUCACUGGGCGUAAAGCGUGCGUAGGCGGUUGGUUAAGUCUGCUGUGAAAGCCCUGGGCUCAACCUGGGAACUGCAGUGGAUACUGGCCAGCUAGAGUGUGAUAGAGGAUGGUGGAAUUCCCGGUGUAGCGGUGAAAUGCGUAGAUAUCAAGAGGAACACCUGCGGCGAAGGCGGGUUGCUGGGCCGACACUGACGCUGAGGCGCGAAAGCUAGGGGAGCGAACGGG